rnacentral:rRNA from 1 species
AGAAUCAACGCUGGCGGCGUGCCUAACACAUGCAAGUCGAACGAGAAAGUGGAGCAAUCCAUGAGUAAAGUGGCGCACGGGUGAGUAACACGUGACUAACCUACCCUUGAGUGGGGAAUAACUUCGGGAAACCGAGGCUAAUACCGCAUAACACCUACGGGUCAAAGGAGCAAUUCGCUUAAGGAGGGGUCGCGGCAGAUUAGUUAGUUGGCGGGGUAAUGGCCCACCAAGACAGUGAUCGAUA